ACUACUGCAGAUGUGAAAGAUGUUAUUGACAAAUGUUGAAAUAUUAAACUUUAAUCAAUUCACAUAUGGUCUUCAAUCACUGAGGUAAAUUUCAAUUAGAAUGCAUCACGCUCAUUUAAAAAUAAAACAUGUUUGAAUGAUCUCCGUCUGGAUAACUGCAGCUUUUGUUAUAUAACAUCCAUUGUACAAUUUACAACAUCCACUCUCACAGCGCUACAUUACAUUCACAGUGUCAUCCUUUCUUGUUUAUUGGUGGUCGUUGGCUGCAUAUUUCACAACCAAAAGGAAACUAUCAGUAGAAUCCAUUCCAAAAUGAAAUAUACAUCCUUGCCGAAUAUCUGUGUGGGCGGAAAUAGGCGACACCUACAUGUUCUCAGCCAUAACGUAAAAUUUGAACACAAUGGCCUUCUCCUAAAUUCCGGGUAUCCAUGCCGAAGGUAUUUUUUACUCCCUAUAUAUCCGACCACAGAGGCCCACCAAAAUUACAACGCUUCCCUAUGCAGAACGCGUGUCCUGGUGGAACAAGGCUUUGUGAUCCUUAACAGGCGAUUUGCCUGUCUUCAAGGAACCCUGAGAAAGAGGCCCAAGGGAAGAGAGAGAGAGAGGAGAAACACCCAUUUUUUCACCAAUAAAAGUUGUUCGAUUUCUCUUAAUCAAGUCGUGUGAUUUGUUUU